rnacentral:rRNA from 1 species
CUACGGGGCGCUCCAGUGAGGAAUAUUGCACAAUGGGGGGAACCCUGAUGCAGCAACGCCGCGUGGAGGAUGACGCAUUUCGGUGUGUAAACUCCUUUUAUAUGUCAAGAAAAUGACGGUAGCAUAUGAAUAAGCACCGGCUAACUCCGUGCCAGCAGCCGCGGUAAUACGGAGGGUGCAGGCGUUACUCGGAAUCACUGGGCGUAAAGGACGCGUAGGCGGGUUGGAAAGUCAGGUGUGAAAUCCUACAGCUUAACUGUAGAACUGCACUUGAAACUUCUAAUCUAGAGUAUGGGAGGGGGAGAUGGAAUUAGUGGUGUAGGGGUAAAAUCCGUAGAUAUCACUAGGAAUACCUAAAGCGAAGGCGAUCUCCUGGAACAUUACUGACGCUAAGGCGUGAGAGCGUGGGGAGCAAACAGGAUUAGAUACCCGCGUAGUC